rnacentral:rRNA from 1 species
CAAAACAGCCAUACCACCCUGAACACGCCCAAUCUUGUCUGGUCUCAGAAGCUAAGCAGGGCUGGUCCUGGUUAGUACUUGGAUGGGAGACAGAUCUUCAGAGAAGACUAUUCAGAGGCAAGCAGUUUAGA